CCUACGGGAGGCAGCAGUAGGGAAUCUUCCACAAUGGACGAAAGUCUGAUGGAGCAACGCCGCGUGAGUGAAGAAGGGUUUCGGCUCGUAAAGCUCUGUUGGUAGAGAAGAAAGAUAGAGGUAGUAACUGGCCUUUCUUUGACGUUAAUUACUUAGAAAGUACCGGCUAACUACGUGCCAGCAGCCGCGGUAAUACGUAGGUGGCAAGCGUUGUCCGGAUUUAUUGGGCGUAAAGCGAUUGCAGGCGGUUCAAUAAGUCUGAUGUGAAAGCCUUCGGCUCAACCGGAGAAUUGCAUCAGAAACUGUUGAACUUGAGUGAAGAAGAGGAGAGUGGAACUCCAUGUGUAGCGGUGGAAUGCGUAGAUAUCUGGAAGAACACCAGUGGCGAAGGCGGCCCGCUGGGCUGCAACUGACGCUGAGGCUCGAAAGCAUGGGUAGCGAACAGGAUUAGAUACCCCAGUAGUC
rnacentral:rRNA from 1 species